UCAGCCCACCGCCGCUCUGUCAGCCCACCGCCGCUCUGUCAGCCCACCGCUGCUCUGUCAGCCCACCGCCGCUCUGUCGGCCCACUGCCGCUCUGUCGCCAUUAAUGCGGGAGCGCCGCUCGCCGCUCGGCUCUGACUCCCUCACCUUUGCGUCUGCUUGUGAGUCCCAGCUGUGUUUCCACGGUGUCCCGGGGAGCUGGGUGCCCUGCAGAGUCACCUACUCAUGCCCACUGAAAGGAAGGAAAGGAUGCUGAGUAUGUAUUUAUAUAUACAAGUGGGAGAAAUAAUCCAUGCCCCAGCAACAAUCAGGUUGCACCCUUAAAUAUAGCAACUAAUAAGGGUACAGUGAGGCACUCUCAUAUGGAAAAUACAUCUUUAGUUUAUUGGAUAACAUACAUGACAUUUUGGUCUAGAGAUAUAUUUUCCAUACAAGAGUGUCAUGCCUCUCUUUAAACUUAUGUAUCUAUAUAUAUGCAAGCGAAUUAUCACGAAUGUGUCAAGUGAUAGAUGGGCUGUUCGUGCUGUGGGCCACAGACCAGCUUUGUCAUGCCUGUCUGUUGAUGGAUUCUGUUUAUCAGACCUGCAGGAGGGUGUGUCGGACAGGAAAAGGAUGAAGUCAGCAAUAUGCCUGGCGAUGGGGAAGUAGUGUUGUUCCCUUGUCAGCCAGCUGCACAAAUGAGAAAGGAAUGUAGGCAGUGUAAGUCGCUGUGGAUAAGAGUGUCUGCUGAAUGUAAAAUGCAGUGUAAAUUCAAAUGUGAAGAAAGGCUGUAUCUCAGAACUAAUGCCGAUCAAUACUAUGCUUUUAUGCUGCACUUGACCUCUGUCUAAUGUCAUGGAGCUCCUUCCAAGUUUUAAAAAUUUCUCUCCACAUGCUAUCCUUCUCUACAGUGCAUUUAAUUCACACAACCAAGCUGCCAAUUGCUUUAGAGUGACUCUAUUUCGACAGUAGACAAUAAUUUAUGUUUGGGGACAGUAUCUUCUCACCUGAAUCGGAGAGAUGGAAAAAUAUAAUAAUACUAAUACUAAUAAUGAUAUUAAUAAUAAUAAUAAUAAUAAUAAUAAUAAUAAUUAUUAUUAUUAUUAUUAUAAUAAGAGGCUCCUUAGUUGAAGUUCUGGAAGUGUGUGUGUGCAUAUACAUUAUACAUUCCCCUUGGACAGUGAUUGGAACUCCAGCAGUCAGCCACCACCCGUUACUUUCAGAGAUAAAUCUGCAGCCUUCUGGAAGGGUCUGGAGCCUUGGAUGUCACCUCAUACAUUCUCACUGUGGCUGGCAUGGGUCCAGUAACAGUGUAGAGGAGUACUUGGGUCACUGCCUCCAUCACCACCGCUCCAUUCUGAUGCAGGGGCACACAUUAUAAUUCCUAACUGCGGCAAUUAUACUUCUCCCAGAAUUAUGAAAAUUGUAUGCUGUCACACAACAGCCACUGUGAUAGAUUGCUGGCCUAUCAUGUGCCUCUCACCCAAUACAUGCUGGGCGCCCCCCGCGACCCCCUGGCUCCGUGGUUUCCACACAGUUUUCAGUUAGCUCGUCUACAGUCUGUGGUUCUUACCAUGAAGAAAAUGUUUGCUUAUCCUAACGUCUCCAAGCCUUGAGGGGGUGCUGUACAGUACUUAAAUGCUGGUAUCAAUGCAAUGGCAGUAAUAAGGUAUAAAGAUAAGCUCAUACUCCUGAUCGCCGUGAAAGGGGAAGGGAAAAGCAAUAUCAGAGAACCUUCCCUUCAGUAUUCUGUAUUUUGCCUGUAAAAACAUUGUAUGUUUGCCAAGCAGCAUUGUGACUCAGCGAAAAUCAAAUGAGUCUUCACAACACAGGACUCCCUGCUGGAGCCUUGUGAAAACACAUUAAGAUAUUUUUACAUAUUGUCAAUUACCCUCAACACAAAUGAAAUUCUCCCUUCUGUUUCUGUCUCUCAAAUUUAGCAUUCAGUGUGAAUGUCAACAUUUACCUUCCGUGCAUAUUGGUGAGGUCUAGCUGUUCCAUUUCAAUCUUAAAUCUAUUAGUAUUAUGCAUGACAGAGAUGAAAACAAAGGCUCGAGUUGCCCUUAGAGACACGUAAUGAUGUAGCCUGAAGUUACAGUAAUUAGGCAGGACAUAUUUUUUUAUUUUUUUAUUCUUGGCUGAUAGGCAUUUUGUUGCCACUGCAGAGAUAACACAUCCUCACUUAGCAGUGAGUGGGUAUAAGAACAGCAGUAAGUAUGUGUAGUAUGAACCAAAGGUUACUGAAGGACAUGUUGGCUAGCUAUGAUGCAGGUUCUGUACACAUCAGCCCCAUCACCACUAGUGCCCCUCUAAUAACUACUUGAGACACAAUAUUGAUUGGCAUACAUAUUGAUGCAUCCCUAUCUGUUUGUAAUGUACAGCACACUGUGGCCAUUUUUAAUUGUCCAUGUUGAGCCACUAGAUUAUUUAGAAAUAUAUUUUUAUUUUCAAAACCCUAGGGGGCAUCCUUGUAAAUGUCUGUGUGAAGUAACUUAGAUAUGAGUAUUUCACAGAUAUGGUUUGGGUAGUUUUAUGAGACACAACUUGGGAUUGUUAUAUUUUGGAAAAGUCACGUUUUCUGCCAAAAUUUAACAGCCAGGUUUUCAUGCUCCAGGUGGUACAUUGCCUAUGAAUGAGGAUCUUUUUUCCUUUAAAUGAACCACUAACCUUGAGUGAACUGGACAUGUUCCAUCCCUGUCAUGUAUAUUAUUGCUGUCUGUUUCACAGCACCGCCUUGUGGUAAAAAAGGAGUAGCACACCAGAAAAGAUAUUUUGAUAAUGAGCGCUGCUCUUAAUUUGCAUUAGCGCCUUAAUAUUGUUGCAUACAUUUGCUGGGGUAUAUUAUUGGCCAGGUCUGGCACUAUUACUCAUAUAAAUCAGGUUGAGGCAUUUUCCUACAUUGUAUGUCUGUGUAGAUAAGUGAAUGCCAUGUAAUGUACUGUGAACAGCAGGAACUUGGGAGCAGCAAUAGUGUAUACUAUGAUGGUUUAUUUAAAGUUAUAAUUUGAGGAAUUACAAUGAGGCUCAGUCUGAGAGCAGAAGUUAAAUGAGGAUGAUCUACAACAGAGUAUGCAAGAAGAGGAGAAAAUUAUGGAGAGGGAGAAGGAGAGAGAAAAGAGAUGUAGAAGAGAAUGAAAGAGAUGGAGAGGAGGAACAGAGAAAGGACAGAGUGAAAAAUCAGACAAAAGGAAGAAAAUGCAAAGAAAGUAUAAAUAUCACAUUGGUCUGAAGGAAGUGUCAAGAGAAGAAAUGGGUAAAACAUUUCUUAAUAAAAUACCAUACACCCCCUAUACUUGACUUUCUGUGUGGGUGUUUUUUCCUUAAAAAAAUGCACUCGAUCCUUACAUUAUGUGUGUGUCUGUGCACAUGUUGUGUGUGUUUGUGUGGGUGUGGUUGUUACCACCCAUACAGUUUAAUUUAUCUAGCCGAUCACCUGAAUGCUGUAUAAUUUAUCACAACUUUAUUAUACAGCUAUUUGAGAACUUAAUGUUCAUGUCUCAUGAUGUUAAUGUAUCAUUUAUGAGAGCUACCAAUUCACAUGCUCUUUUGCCCAA